rnacentral:rRNA from 1 species
AGUGAACGCUGGCGGUAGGCCUAACACAUGCAAGUCGAACGGCAGCACAGUAAGAGCUUGCUCUUACGGGUGGCGAGUGGCGGACGGGUGAGGAAUCCAUCGGAAUCUACUUUUUCGUGGGGGAUAACGUAGGGAAACUUACGCUAAUACCGCAUACGACCUACGGGUGAAAGCAGGGGAUCUUCGGACCUUGCGCGAUUGAAUGAGCCGAUGUCGGAUUAGCUAGUUGGCGGGGUAAAGGCCCACCAAGGCGACGAUCCGUAGCUGGUCUGAGAGGAUGAUCAGCCACACUGGAACUGAGACACGGUCCAGACUCCUACGGGAGGCAGCAGUGGGGAAUAUUGGACAAUGGGCGCAAGCCUGAUCCAGCCAUACCGCGUGGGUGAAGAAGGCCUUCGGGUUGUAAAGCCCUUUUGUUGGGAAAGAAAAGCAGCAGGUUAAUACCCCGCUGUUCUGACGGUACCCAAAGAAUAAGCACCGGCUAACUUCGU